GUGAAACCGUUCGGGGGUAAACGGACAGAGCCCGUGAAUCUGGGCGGCGAAAUUCAGAAUGACUGGCCGGCUUUGUGCAUGUCCGGUCGUUUGAUAUUUUCGUCGCCGUGUCAGACGUCGCGAUCUGUUUGUUGUCGGUCCUUGCUCGGAGGAGUUGCGAUCGAGUUUGUUGUGGACGCGUUUCGGCGUGUCAUACGGCAAAGACGUGAUUCUCUGGCCGAUAACGGACAGUAAGCAAUGGUAGCUGAUGCUGUGUCACGUACACAGUGUUGGUACCGAUCAGCGACGAUUUCUUCGGGCCUCUUUCCGACCCGUCUUGAAACACGGACCAAGGAGUCUAACAUGCGCGCGAGUCGCGGGGUAUCGAGCGUACUACGGUGCGCUCGGUCAUUAUGAAACCCGUAUGUUGAAGGCGUAAUGAAAGUAAACAGGGAAGAUGGUGUUCCGAGUAUACGUACUGUGAAAUUUCACRGCCGGACACCCGCAUUCCCGGGGCGUCUUAAUGGUUCAUCGUAGAUGCGGACUGUCGUCUCUCGGGGCGGUAGUCGGUUUGCGAUGGUCCGAGGCGCACCUAGAGCGUGCACGUUGGUACCCGAAAGAUGGUGAACUAUGCCUGGCCAGGAUGAAGUCAGGGGAAACCCUGAUGGAGGUCCGCAGCGAUUCUGACGUGCAAAUCGAUCGUCUGAGCUGGGUAUAGGGGCGAAAGACUAAUCGAACCAUCUAGUAGCU
rnacentral:rRNA from 1 species